GUUUGAAUGCUGGCUAUGCAAGUUUGGAUAGAGCACUCGGAAUUAGCUUACGUUAAACAUGACAAUGAACACUGCUAUAUUUCACCGAACCUAGUCUACACAAAUUAAAGUAAAACAUUAACACGACAAUGGCCCCCACACAACCCUG